rnacentral:rRNA from 1 species
GAGUUUGAUUAUGGCUCAGGAUGAACGCUGGCGGCGUGCCUAACACAUGCAAGUCGAACGAAGCAUAUAGAAGGAAGUUUUCGGAUGGAAUUUUAUAUGACUUAGUGGCGGACGGGUGAGUAACGCGUGGAUAAUCUGCCUUACACAGCGGGAUAACAAGUGGAAACAGUUGCUAAUACCGCAUAAGCACACAGUAUCGCAUGAUACAGGGUGAAAAGAUUUAUCGGUGUAAGAUGAGUCCGCGUCCCAUUAGCUAGUUGGUGAGGUAAAAGCUUACCAAGGCGACGAUGGGUAGCCGGCCUGAGAGGGUGAACGGCCACAUUGGGACUGAGACACGGCCCAGACUCCUACGGGAGGCAGCAGUGGGGGAUAUUGCACAAUGGGCGAAAGCCUGAUGCAGCGACGCCGCGUGAAGGAUGAAGUAUUUCGGUAUGUAAACUUCUAUCAGCAGGGAAGAA